GUCCCUGAGUGACUCUUUGGCUCAAACUGUUCUGGUUUGUGGAAGACACGCCUGUUUUCUUCCCUGGGUUAACUGUGAAGCUCAGAAGAGGAUGAAGGGCCCCAAUGGCAGAUGAACCACACAGGGCUGUGCGGCCUCAGCCCCACAGCUGGGGAGCUCAGUGGCCUCCUGGAGGAGAAGCUGACUUUGGGAGUUGGGGCUGUGUGGGAGGCCUCUGUCUCUGUGUGGCAUUUGGUCAUAACCACUGGACUUUGGAACAUUCUGCUUAAAACCACAACUUUGGCUGG
rnacentral:lncRNA from 1 species